ensembl:snoRNA Gm24453 small nucleolar RNA SNORD28
GUCAGAUGAUUUGAAAUGAUGGCACUGAACACUCCAUGAAGGUGUGAAUUUAUAGCAUGUUAGAGUUCUGAUGGCA